rnacentral:rRNA from 1 species
CCUACGGGGGGCAGCAGUGAGGAAUAUUGGUCAAUGGACGGAAGUCUGAACCAGCCAAGCCGCGUGCAGGAAGACGGCUCUAUGAGUUGUAAACUGCUUUUGUACAAGGGUAAACCUGAAUACGUGUAUUCAGAUGAAAGUACUGUACGAAUAAGGCUCGGCUAACUCCGUGCCAGCAGCCGCGGUAAUACGGAGGAUCCAAGCGUUAUCCGGAUUUAUUGGGUUUAAAGGGUGCGUAGGCGGCUUGAUAAGUUAGAGGUGAAAUGUCCGAGCUGAACUCGGGAACUGCCGCUGAUACUGUUGUUCUAGAGAGUAGAUGCGGUAGGCGGAAUGUAUGGUGUAGCGGUGAAAUGCUUAGAGAUCAUACAGAACACCGAUUGCGAAGGCAGCUUACCAAUCUAUAUCUGACGUUGAGGCACGAAAGCGUGGGGAGCAAACAGGAUUAGAUACCCUUGUAGUC